rnacentral:tRNA from 1 species
ACCUGGCUGGCUUAGGUUUGAGAAUGUGACUCUUAAUCUCAGGGUUGUGAGUUCAAGUCCCACGUUGGGUG